UACGUAGGGGGCAAGCGUUAUCCGGAAUCACUGGGCGUAAAGGGUGCGUAGGCGGCUCAUCAAGUCAGGGGUGAAAGGCAUUGGCUCAACCAAUGUAAGCCUUUGAAACUGAAGAGCUUGAGUGCAGGAGAGGUAAGUGGAAUUCCUAGUGUAGAGGUGAAAUUCGUAGAUCUUAGGAGGAACACCAGUGGCGAAGGCGACUUACUGGACUGUAACUGACGCUGAGGCACGAAAGCGUGUGUAGCGAACAGG
rnacentral:rRNA from 1 species